GGGCCAGUGCGGGGUCUUACCAUGCAAGUCGAACGAUGAACCACCUUCGGGUGGGGAUUAGUGGCGAACGGGUGAGUAACACGUGGGCAAUCUGCCCUUCACUCUGGGACAAGCCCUGGAAACGGGGUCUAAUACCGGAUACUGACCUGCCAAGGCAUCUUGGCGGGUCGAAAGCUCCGGCGGUGAAGGAUGAGCCCGCGGCCUAUCAGCUUGUUGGUGAGGUAAUGGCUCACCAAGGCGACGACGGGUAGCCGGCCUGAGAGGGCGACCGGCCACACUGGGACUGAGACACGGCCCAGACUCCUACGGGAGGCAGCAGUGGGGAAUAUUGCACAAUGGGCGAAAGCCUGAUGCAGCGACGCCGCGUGAGGGAUGACGGCCUUCGGGUUGUAAACCUCUUUCAGCAGGGAAGAAGCGAAAGUGACGGUACCUGCAGAAGAAGCGCCGGCUAACUACGUGCCAGCAGCCGCGGUAAUACGUAGGGCGCAAGCGUUGUCCGGAAUUAUUGGGCGUAAAGAGCUCGUAGGCGGCUUGUCACGUCGGUUGUGAAAGCCCGGGGCUUAACCCCGGGUCUGCAGUCGAUACGGGCAGGCUAGAGUUCGGUAGGGGAGAUCGGAAUUCCUGGUGUAGCGGUGAAAUGCGCAGAUAUCAGGAGGAACACCGGUGGCGAAGGCGGAUCUCUGGGCCGAUACUGACGCUG
rnacentral:rRNA from 1 species